AUUGAACGCUGGCGGCAUGCUUUACACAUGCAAGUCGAACGGUAACAGGCCGCAAGGUGCUGACGAGUGGCGAACGGGUGAGUAAUGCAUCGGAACGUGCCCAGUCGUGGGGGAUAACGCAGCGAAAGCUGCGCUAAUACCGCAUACGAUCUAUGGAUGAAAGCGGGGGACCGUAAGGCCUCGCGCGAUUGGAGCGGCCGAUGUCAGAUUAGGUAGGUGGUGGGGUAAAGGCUCACCAAGCCAACGAUCAGUAGCUGGUCUGAGAGGACGACCAGCCACACUGGGACUGAGAAACGGCCCAGACUCCUACGGGAGGCAGCAGUGGGGCAUUUUGGACAAUGGGGGCAACCCUGAUCCAGCCAUGCCGCGUGCGGGAAGAAGGCCUUCGGGUUGUAAACCGCUUUUGGCAGGAACGAAACGGUGCGGGCGAAUACCCUGUGCUAAUGACGGUACCUGCAGAAUAAGCACCGGCUAACUACGUGCCAGCCGCCGCUGUAAUAC
rnacentral:rRNA from 1 species